UUUUGUUAGACAGUCCCAGUAACGAUUCUACAGAAAACUUCAAAACGGGUUUUGUUGGAGAGGAAUUCUGGUACUUUGUCGGAGUUUGAAAUUCUGGGAGAUUUCUGGCCAAGGUAUCGAGUGGUGCUAUGGUGUACUGCGACAAACUGUAUGAUUGUGUACUUCCAACACCUAAAGAGUCAUUGACGUUCUCUUUGAAGCUGAUUUCCAUUUUACUUUCAUUCAGCCUAGAAUUGCGAUAUUUCAAGUAUGGUGAUAAGAUGUUCAGCUCUGACGAUCUCAUUUCCCGUAAUCCUUCAGAUUUGAUCGGAGUUGAUGUGUACGGAGCGUAUCUUCUUCCAACAGAUGCAAAAUCACUGGGAUGAUUGUAAUACUGGGGUACACCGCUUUCUUGGUUUUCAAUGGAAGGAAAAUGAUGCUUUUCCCUAGACAGUGAAUGCGCCAACCGUUUCAUUUCAUCAAUAGAACGGGAUAAAGAUAGGAUGUGUUCCCGCGCAUGUACAAGGGUAGACAAUUUGGAGAGUUUCUUUAGAGACGAUCCCUGGGAUUGAGGUAACACACUUCGUAAUGCCUCCAAAGCGUCGUUCAGUUCGUGCAUGCGCUGUCUCUCACGGCUGUUAAUGCGCAGUCGAAUUUCAUCAGGGACUCGGGAUUCCGAAGAGUUAGAUGACGUAGAUAAGUCACAUGAUGAAUUCACGUCAUAUACACCGCUAUCCUCUUCCUCGAUUUUAAUUGUGGUCAUAAGGGAAACGUUCGAAGACAUUUCUGAUGAGUUAAUGACUUGAUUAAGAAGUCUGAUCUUAUAAACUAUUUUUACCUCGUUUGGAAUGCAGUGUAGAGCAUCGAUGUGCAAUAUAUACUCAGUACAUGCGCAUUGACACCUCUGCCCUCGCUUACCAUUGGUCAGUCUGUAGUUCACGGUUACGGGUACCUGCGCUCAGUGAUAUUUUUCCGAAUGAUCGAGUUAAUUACAGGAAAUGCCUGAGGACUACAUCAUAAUUAAAAUGAUUUUUUUUCUUUGCUUUGAAAAAUUAAAUUUAACACACAGUU
rnacentral:sRNA from 1 species